CCUCCCCAGCGCCGCCUCCCUCCGCCGGGCUUCCGGGAGCCCUCGUGAUCCGCUCCGCCGCCACCAGCGCAGCGCAGCCCGCAGCGAGCCCCGCUCGGCCGGUGACUGACCCGCGGGGCGGGGAGCUGGGCACACGCCGGGGGUCGCUGGCGGGGCCCGGAGCUGGGAGCGCCCCGUGCGCCCAGGGCGAGCGCCGGUUCGCCCGCCCCGCUGCACUGCGGGGGCAGGAUCGGGGCUGCCUGGCCUUCCCCAGUCACCCCCGUUCCAGGUCUCGGGGGGCUGCUUCUAGCAGGGUUCCCCGGUCCCUGGCUGGGGGGUUCCCCGGUCCUGCCAAGCCUGGUUAAUUGAUGGGGCCUGGGGGCUCCGGUUCGGGCGUGGCGUGGAGCUGUGCCACCUCUGGUGCCAUGGCUCUGGGGUUGUUAUCGCAGCCCUGACCUGGGACGCGCCCCAGCCUGGCACAUGCCACACGGAUCGUGGCCAGGAAUUCACUCUGUUGCUGUGUGCGGGGCUGGGGGCCGGCCCCACGGGUAAACGACAUGUUUGAGGCUGGAGAGCUCCGGGCGCGGCCUGUGGGAAGCCCCAGACGGUGGCCGGUGGCUGCAGGAUUUAUGGGGAUCCCUCCGAGUGGGGAGCUUGGUCUCGGGGCGCUCAGCCUCGCUGGAACCAGCUGCGAGUCCAGCCCCCGCCCCAGCUGUGCCAGGGCCCCUGGGCUGGGGCUGUCGGGUGCUAUCCAUGGAUGUGUUCUCUCCUCAGCCCGUGCUCUGUGCUAGAUCCUGCGCGCCAUGUGCUGGCUUCGUGCUGUGGCCCUGCUGCUCUGGGCAGGGCUGGGCCUGGCCCAAGAUUACCCAUUCCGGGACCCCACCCUGCCCUGGGAGCAGCGGCUGGACGACCUCAUCGGGCGGCUCACCCUGGGGGAGCUGGUGCUGCAGAUGGCGAGAGGUGGCGCUAAGUACAACGGGCCAGCGCCCCCCAUUGAGCGGCUGGGGAUCAAGCCCUACAACUGGAACACCGAGUGCCUGAGGGGGGAUGGGGAAGCCCCCGGCUGGGCCACGGCCUUCCCCCAAGCACUGGGCUUGGCGGCCUCCUUCAGCCCCGAGCUCAUCCACCGCGUGGCCAAUGCCACUGCCACGGAAGUGAGAGCCAAGCACAACUACUUCAUGUCCACGGGCAUCUACGGCGACCACACAGGCCUCAGCUGCUUCAGCCCGGUGCUGAACAUCAUGAGACACCCGUUGUGGGGCAGGAACCAGGAGACGUACGGCGAAGACCCGUUCCUGAGCGCAGAGCUGGCCGUGGCGUUCGUGCAGGGGCUGCAGGGCGACCACCCCCGUUACGUCAAGGCCAGUGCCGGCUGCAAACACUUCAGCGUGCACGGGGGGCCCGAGAAUGUGCCCGUCUCCAGGCUCAGCUUUGAUGCCAAGGUGCAAGAGCGGGACUGGAGAAUGACCUUCCUGCCCCAGUUCCAGGCCUGUGUGCGCGCUGGCUCCUACAGCGUCAUGUGCAGCUACAACAGGAUCAACGGCGUGCCCGCCUGCGCCAACAAGAAGCUGCUGACAGACAUCCUGCGGGCAGAGUGGGGCUUCCAGGGCUACGUGGUGAGCGACGAGGGCGCCGUGGAGUUGAUCAUGCUGGCCCAUCGCUACACACACAGCUUCCUGGAGACGGCCAUCGCCUCGGUGAACGCUGGCUGCAACCUAGAGCUGUCCUUCAGCCUGACGGAGAACGUCUUCAUGAGCAUCAGCGAGGCUGUGGCCAAGGGUAACAUCACGCUGGAGACGGUGAGGGCCCGGGUCCGGCCACUCUUCUACACACGUCUGCGGCUGGGGGAGUUCGACCCCCCUGCCAUGAACCCCUACAGCGCCCUCGACCUGAGCGCCGUGCAGAGCCCCGCCCACAGGAGCCUCGCCGUGGAGGCCGCCGUCAAGAGCUUUGUGCUGCUGAAGAACGAGGGGGGGACGCUGCCCCUCAGCGCCCAGGCCCUGGCCGGCAAGCGGAUCGCGGUCGUUGGUCCCUUUGCCGACAACCCCAGGGUGCUGUUUGGGGACUACGCACCCAUCCCGGACCCCCAGUACAUCUACACCCCCAGGAGGGGCCUGGAGACCCUGCCAGCCAACGUCAGCUUCGCCGCAGGCUGCAGCGAUCCCAGGUGCCAGUACUACUCGCCGGGCGAGGUGGAGGGGGCGGUCUGGGCAGCCGACGUCGUCGUGGUGUGCCUGGGCACAGGGACUGACCUGGAGACAGAGGCGAAGGACCGACGGGACCUGUCCCUGCCCGGGCACCAGCAGAAGCUGCUGCAGGACGCUGUGGCCUGGGCCGUGGGGCGCCCCAUCAUCCUGCUGCUGUUCAACGCGGGGCCACUGGACGUGGGCUGGGCCCAGGCCCACCACGGAGUAGGCGCCAUCCUGGCGUGCUUCUUCCCAGCGCAGGCCGCGGGCAUCGCCAUCAUCAAGGUGCUGCUGGGGGAGGAGGGGGCCAGCCCGGCGGGCAGGCUCCCGGCCACCUGGCCAGCUGGCAUGGACCAGGUAAGGCCCAGGGGCACCGGUGCUGGGGGCUCGGAAAUCGGAAAACCCCCAGCUCCCCCACCUAUUCCUGAGGCCAGCUUGGCACCAUGCCCCCCCAUGCCCACAUGGCACCAUGGCCUGUGGCUGACAUCUUCCAUCCCUUGUGGCUGCAGGUGCCAGCCAUGGAGAAUUACACCAUGGAUGGGCGCACAUACCGGUACUAUGGGCCAGUGGCCCCGCUCUACCCCUUCGGCUACGGACUGUCCUACACCACCUUCCUCUACCGGGACCUGGCCUUGAGCCCCACAGUGCUGCCCCUCUGCGCCAACCUCAGCGUCUCCGUGGUGGUGGAGAACACUGGGCAGAGGGAUGGUGAAGAGGUGAGAGCUCUCCCUGCCCCGGAUCGGGGGGCUGUGAGGCAGGGCAUGGCUUGGGGGGAAUGGGAUUGUCCUGUGGGCCCUGUGCCAGGCCAGCACUUAGCCCUGAUGGCUCCUCCCCUGUGGGGCCGGGGCGGUCAGGAGAGGUGGCGCCUUGCUGACUCCUGUGGCAUUGGGGUGAGGCAGUGCCAUGGUUCUGCUCCAGCCAGUCUCUCAGGUUAUCUCUGAGGGGUGACGCUGCCCAUGGAGAAGCAGCACCUGGCAGGACCCCUCGGUCCCUGCUGGCCUUGCCCUGGGCGUUUGGCUCCCCGUUGCUGUUCCCAGCCCACCUCUCCCCUCCCUGCAGGUGGUGCAGCUGUACCUGCGUUGGGCGCAGCCCUCCGUGCCGGUGCCCCGCUGGCAGCUGGUUGGAUUCCGCCGGGUGCCCGUUGCCGCAGGCCGGGCGGCGAAGCUGCUGUUCCUGGUGACCUACGUGCAGCGCGCCGUCUGGGCCGAGCAGUGGCAGCUGGAGCCGGGCGCCUUCACGCUCUUUGUGGGCGGGCAGCAGCCGGGCCAGGAGACACGGGCCAGCUCCGAGGUCCUGCGGGCGGAGUUCACUGUGACCGGCAGCACCCGACCCCUGAGCCGCUGCUAAGGACAGGGACCGUUUCUGGGGCACUGGAAUGGGAACUGCAGGGGGCUAGGAUGUGGCCAUGUGCGUUGGGGCUGGGAUCUGGCCCAGCACCCAGCUGGCUGUAGCAGGAAGCGGGGGCACAUGGCUGGCUCUAUCAGGGUUAGGAGGGCCGGCCCGGCACCUGGCUGGCUGUAUGCGGGGGCCCAGCCUGCACUUGGCUGGCUGUACUGGGGGGGUCGGCCCGGCACCUGGCUGGCUGUAUUCGGGGGCCUGGCCGGCUCUUGGCUGGCUCUACUGGGGACAAUGGGAGCUCAUUCACUCGAUGCACAAUAAACUUUGCCCAGCGUUGACCCCUAU
rnacentral:lncRNA from 1 species